GACGAACGCUGGCGGCGUGCUUAACACAUGCAAGUCGAACGGAGUGGCGAACGGGUGAGUAACACGUGGGUGACCUGCCCUGCACUUCGGGAUAAGCCUGGGUAAAUGGGUCUAAUACCGGAGAGUGUGGGAUGGGCCCGGGGCCAAUCAGCUUGGUGGUGGGGUAAGGGACUACCAAGGCGGCGACGGGUAGCCGGCCUGGGAGGGUGGACGGCCACAUGAGGACUGAGACACGGCCCAGACGCCAACGGGGGGCAGCAGUGGGGAGUAUUGCACAAUGAGCGGACGCCUGAUGCAGCGACGCCGCGUGGGGGAUGACCGCCUUCGGGUUGUAAACUCCGUUCACCAUCGACGCGGUAGCUGGAGAAGAAGCACCGGCUAACUCCGUGCCAGCAGCCGCGGUAAUUC
rnacentral:rRNA from 1 species